GCAUGACAACUGUUGCGACCACUGUUUUCCCCAGUAGAAAACAGAAUUUCACAGAAGCACGCUGCUCCUUCGUUUUAGCCAUCGCAAAAAAAUCGACGAACAGAGGAGAAGCACUGCAAAAGAAAGACGCAUCAAGUGGAAAUACGACUUCACUCGACAACGCCGGUCGGCAGACUGAUGCCUGAGGAUUGCAUCAAGUGGAUUCUAGCGGCGGAAUCCUGAACUACACUAGGCUUGUCCCACCGAGAACGUUUCUGGUUAGUUUUGGGUACCCCCUCUUAUAGGUAGAUAGAUAGAUAGAUAGAUAGAUAGAUAG